UUUGGGAUGGAGGGAAAAAUCCUACAUAGAGUAACUCAAGAUGACAAUUCCUGGGGACUGAGAAACAUUUGGGAGAAACUAACUUUGUGGUUACCUGAAUAGAAUUGGCUCAAACAACUAUUUGUUGGU